GACGAACGCUGGCGGCGUGCUUAACACAUGCAAGUCGAACGAUGAAACCUAGCUUGCUAGGUCGAUUAGUGGCGAACGGGUGAGUAACACGUGACUAACCUGCCCCUAACUCUGGGAUAACUGCUGGAAACGGUAGCUAAUACUGGAUACGACCUACGAAGGCAUCUUCUGUAGGUGGAAAGAAUUUCGGUUCGGGAUGGACUCGCGGCCUAUCAGCUUGCUGGUGAGGUAAUGGCUCACCAAGGCGACGACGGGUAGCCGGCCUGAGAGGGUGACCGGCCACACUGGGACUGAGACACGGCCCAGACUCCUACGGGAGGCAGCAGUGGGGAAUAUUGCACAAUGGGCGCAAGCCUGAUGCAGCAACGCCGCGUGAGGGAUGACGGCCUUCGGGUUGUAAACCUCUUUUUGUAGGGAAGAAGCGAAAGUGACGGUACCUGCAGAAAAAGCACCGGCUAACUACGUGCCAGCCGCCGCCGUAA
rnacentral:rRNA from 1 species